rnacentral:rRNA from 1 species
GAUGAACGCUGGCGGCGUGCCUAACACAUGCAAGUCGAACGGAACUAUUUUGGAAAGUUCUUCGGAACUGGAAUCUUUAGUUUAGUGGCGGACGGGUGAGUAACGCGUGAGCAAUCUGCCUUUAAGAGGGGGAUAACAGUCGGAAACGGCUGCUAAUACCGCAUAAAGCAUCAAAUUCGCAUGUUUUUGAUGCCAAAGGAGCAAUCCGCUUUUAGAUGAGCUCGCGUCUGAUUAGCUGGUUGGCGGGGUAACGGCCCACCAAGGCGACGAUCAGUAGCCGGACUGAGAGGUUGAACGGCCACAUUGGGACUGAGACACGGCCCAGACUCCUACGGGAGGCAGCAGUGGGGAAUAUUGCGCAAUGGGGGAAACCCUGACGCAGCAACGCCGCGUGAUUGAAGAAGGCCUUCGGGUUGUAAAGAUCUUUAAUCAGGGACGAAACAAAUGACGGUAC